rnacentral:rRNA from 1 species
CCUACGGGAGGCAGCAGUAAGGAAUAUUGGUCAAUGGAGGCAACUCUGAACCAGCCAUGCCGCGUGCAGGAAGAAGGCCCUAUGGGUCGUAAACUGCUUUUGUACCAGAGAAAACCCGAGUACGUGUACUCGGUUGAUGGUAUGGUAAGAAUAAGCAUCGGCUAACUUCGUGCCAGCAGCCGCGGUAAGACGAAGGAUGCAAGCGUUAUCCGGAUUCAUUGGGUUUAAAGGGUGCGUAGGCGGACUGAUAAGUCAGUGGUGAAAUCUCUCAGCUUAACUGAGAAACUGCCAUUGAUACUGUUAGUCUAGAGUAUAGAUGACGUUGGCGGAAUAUGACAUGUAGUGGUGAAAUCUUAGAUAUGUCAUAGAACACCGAUUGCGAAGGCAGCUAACGAAACUAUAACUGACGCUGAGGCACGAAAGUGGNGGAGUACAACAGAUAGUAUACCUACGUAGUCGCACCGUAACGA